ensembl:lncRNA
UAAUUAGUUCCUUUGUUCAAAUUGUUAUUACCAAAGGUUGUUUCUUUAAGUCUAAAAUUUAAUUGCCUAAUUGUAAUUCCAACUCUCAGGUUUCCCCUGGCAGGAGUUUCAUCAACAUACCAAUUUGGUGCAGCUGGCUGAUUGAAAAACGACCUGCACAAGAUAAGCUCCUUUUUUUGGAGGGGGGGCUGAGCCUUGGUGUUCCUGACAUCUAUGCCUCUUUAAAUCCUUCGAUUAGAGGAUCCUUUCUCUCUGAGCUGCAUCACUGCUUCACCCGACCAGCAAUCCCACAAUCCCUCUGUUCCCUCCCACUGAACUGGUUUCUCUCUGUCCUCGUUUCAGCUCCUCAUCUGUCUCUUUUCCUCCUAUGAAUGCAUGCAUUAAGCAGCUAGAAAUGUACAAAAAGUAUAUGAAAUAUGUCAGUGUUCUUUUGAUAAGUCUAAGUGCUUAGACACAAAAACAAAAAAAUUAUGCCUGCAAAUUUAUGUGUCAAAACUAACAGUUUAGAAAUGACAGAUUUAAUUUUUAAAAAAUGACCUAAAUUAUUUAAUUAUAUUUGUAAACAGUAGCAAUUUUUAACCAUAAUGUGCUUUAUUUAAAUGACAGACUUCUGACUUAAAGUCGUUGGGAUGAAUUUUCAUUGCUAUUAUACUUACGUGGACAUAUAAAGCGGUUCAGAAGGGUAGGUUGAAGAUACAUGGUUUGCUCAGACUCCCCAGAUCCCCAAAUGAGCUAUGUGUAAACAUCAACAUCCACUCUUGUCCACAGAGUGCUACCCCGAAACAUCUUUGUCUUGGUGAACUGCUCCCUCAUCUCAAAGUCAUUGGAUGUUUUUCAACGAGGUAUUUGGUUGGAUGCCUGAAAUAAGUUUCAGUUAUGUCCAUUUAGUUUUGUUUUGUUUUUCAACAACAUAUGUAAGAACAUUGGCCAUGCCCUAAAAAAGUGCUAACAAUUGGCUAAGUGCAACUACAUUUCGUCAUAAGAUCCAAAGUAAUGCUCAAUUACAGUUUUCCCAACAAAAGAAAUUAUCCUCAGAGCAAUCCACUGGGAAACUUUAUUGGGUAAGCCGGGGUUAUGAACAGAGAAUUAGCAUUUAUUAUUAUCAGAAUACUUUUAGGGUUGCACUGAUAUGUAAGGCAGAGGAAACGCAAAAAGAAGAAAAGCAACCAUAAAUCACUUUUUACAACUCACUGAUUGUAUUCCUUUUUGUAAUUUUGGUAAUUGUAACUUUCAAGUUAACACAUUAUUCAAAUUUUUUAACCAACCUUUACCCCUCCUUUGGAGGCAUUUUAAAAGGUUGGGUUUAAACAACACCCUCACAAUGUUAAAUAUAUUGAAAAGCUAACUUUUGCCCUUUCUGAGUCUGAGGAACUCCCACUGAUUCCAAUAUAUUACUCAGCAUGUUGAAAAUUUUAAACAAAUGGCUAACCACUAUAUUCCAUUAUGAAAUACGCAUCAUUUCCUGAAGAUUUUACGUGGACUUAUGCAUCCUCCCAAUAUAAAUCUUCCAAUUAUAGCUAGACAUUUUUUAAAUUCCACAAAUGUAGCUAUAUCUCAUCCAUCUAGCCAUCUAUCUGUCUUUUGCUUAUUCAGUUCAGACCUUAGAAUCUUGAAAAAUGAAGGCAAUUGGACUUCUUUAAGUUGCAUUCUUUAUUUAAGCUCAUAAGAUUAGCAUUACUUGGAUGAUCGAGAACCUAAACACACAUUUCCAGGUCAGUGUCAUGGUCUAGCUUGGGCCUAUUCUGAUACCAUCUGUCUUUAUUUCCCAGUGAACAACAUUAAAAGAUGAACUGAAGAAUAAUAAAACUUGCCCCUACUUUAUUACCCAAUGAAAUCAGCUGUUUCAUUCAGUCCCAUUGCUCACAUAUGUAUAAAAGCAAGCACCUAGCCAUGCAGUCUGCCUUUAAAAACAUUCGUCAGUUGUUCUGAAGGGUUCACUGAACUUGAGCGUGGUAAUUUAGCAGGAUAUCACUGUUGCAACAACUUCAUGAAAUUUCUUAAAACUCUUAGUUAUUCCACAACAGCGUCUGGACCAAUAAAGUUACAUGUCCACUAAGCCUCUUCUGCUACAGUAUUGGACUCCUGAUUUAUCUUCCUCAAAUGACCAACUAAGACCAAACAGAGUAUCUUAAUAAAGGUAAGCCUGGAUGUUAUUAACAUUGCUAGAAAGAUACAAAAGGAGAUGGGCCAAUUGUUUCCAAUUGUUUCCAUUUUCUCCAGAGUUCUCAAUUCAUGAGAUGUAAGUCUUUUGACUCAUAUGAAUUCUAAACACUGUCUAUUAGUUUUUCAAAUGGUCCAAAGUCUCCACAACUGUUUCUAUGAAAAAAUACAAUAAAACCAUCAGUGGAAAAAACUGUAGAUGUGGCAAAUACCAUGGUACCAUAGCUUAAAAAUUCCUUUGAAAUUAAUCCAAAAAUAAGAUAUGAAUAGAUUUAACCUGCCAAUAGGGAGUUUUCUGUUAGAACAUAAUGUCUUCAAACAAAAUUCACUACGGGAGUCAUGGUUUACUUCUUCAAUGUGUUUUCGGGUUUUUUGCCAACAUUAUUGUUCCAUUAACUGUUAUCUUGGGCAAAAAUAUUUUUCUUUUGUACUGCUUAAAAAAAAUAUAUAUAUGACUUUUCCCUUUCACUGAGUUUCAAAGGCCAAAUUUAAACAAAUUAAAAAUGAAAUACUUUCAUAAACCUCUGCUUUAAAUGCUUCUGGUGAUUAAAUGGGCUGUCUUUUCUGUUUGUUUGUUUGCUUGUCUUAUAAGAAAAGAGUUGAACAGAUAUUUAGCUCCUUACAGGUUAUAUUGUGCCAGUUUGUGACAGAAGGCCACAGAUGCUACUCGACCUUUAUCAAAUAUGAAUGUAAACUGCUUUGUAACAUGGCUGUAAUGUUGUAUAUUCUAUAACUCUGUGUAAAUAUUGACUGUGUGAACGACUGUAACCAAGCACAAACUGUUGGCCUUUAACAGUGUCCAACAACAGAUGUACUAUUCUCAAGCACAAACGUGCCUCUGGACUCCUUCUGUGUGUCUGUGUCCU